UACGGAGGGUGCAAGCGUUGUCCGGAUUUAUUGGGUUUAAAGGGUGCGUAGGCGGCCCGUUAAGUCAGCGGUGAAAUCCCAGGGCUCAACCCUGGAACUGCCGUUGAUACUGGCGGGCUUGAGGUCGGUCGAGGCGGGCGGAACUGGUGGUGUAGCGGUGAAAUGCAUAGAUACCACCAAGAACCCCGAUUGCGUAGGCAGCUCGCUAGGCCGAAACUGACGCUGAGGCACGAAAGCGUGGGGAGCGAACAGG
rnacentral:rRNA from 1 species